rnacentral:rRNA from 1 species
AGAGUUUGAUCCUGGCUCAGAAUCAACGCUGGCGGCGUGCCUAACACAUGCAAGUCGAACGAGAAAGUGGAGCAAUCCAUGAGUAAAGUGGCGCACGGGUGAGUAACACGUGACUAACCUACCCUUGAGUGGGGGGAUAACUGAGGGAAACCUUAGCUAAUACCGCAUAACACCUACGGGUCAAAGGAGCAAUUCGCUCGAGGAGGGGGUCGCGGCCGAUUAGUUAGUUGGCGGGGUAACGGCCCACCAAGACGAUGAUCGGUAUCCGGCCUGAGAGGGCGCACGGACACACUGGAACUGAAACACGGUCCAGACUCCUACGGGAGGCAGCAGUGGGGAAUUUUGCGCAAUGGGGGAAACCCUGACGCAGCAACGCCGCGUGGAGGAUGAAGUCCUUCGGGACGUAAACUCCUUUCGAUCGGGACGAUUAUGACGGUACCGGAAGAAGAAGCCCCGGCUAACUUCGUGCCAGCAGCCGCGGUAAUACGAGGGGGGCGAGCGUUGUUCGGAAUUAUUGGGCGUAAAGGGUGCGUAGGCGGUUUGGUAAGUCUUAUGUGAAAUCUAUGGGCUCAACUCAUAGACUGCAUGAGAAACUGCCGGGCUCGAGUGUGGGAGAGGUGAGUGGAAUUUCCGGUGUAGCGGUGAAAUGCGUAGAUAUCGGAAGGAACACCUGUGGCGAAAGCGGCUCACUGGACCACAACUGACGCUGAUGCACGAAAGCUAGGGGAGCAAACAGGAUUAGAUACCCUAGUAGUCC